UGUGUGUGUGCGUGUGUGUGUUGCUGGUUGUAAUUAAAAUACACAUAUGUAAUGCAAGUCAAGUAUUCUGAAGCGAGUUGCAGCGGAUCAAUAGGACAUGUUGUUAAAAUGCGAACUUUUUGUCCAUCCUGAGUCAUAAAUUCGAUCGCUUGUUCACCAUCCACGAGUCCAGUCUGUUCGAUGCUUCCUAGCUGAUUGAUCGUCGCAACUGCAGUGGCAUCAGUAUCCUCAUCCUAUAAAAAACAAAGCGACGCCCGUUGCUGUGCUCGGCUUCCUUAUGAUAUAAGAUGGAACUUGGGUGACUCAGGACUUUGCCGCAGAUAUCACAAGCAUAGCCUUUAUCCGACUUAGUUUUCUGCAACAUUGUACAAAGAUCUAAUUGUAGAUAUUAUGAGAAGUACAGAUAUUGUGUAUAAUUUUAAGAAAAAAAUCAUAAAAUUAUUAUGUAGAAAUAUUUAAGGACAUUCAGAAUAUCUCUUAAAUGAUUUUAAAAUUAUAUUUUAAUUGUUUUUAAAAUAAUUAAUAAACAGUUAAAUUAUUAAUCAA